rnacentral:rRNA from 1 species
UACGGGGGGGGCAAGCGUUGUUCGGAAUUACUGGGCGUAAAGGGCUCGUAGGCGGCCAACUAAGUCAGACGUGAAAUCCCUCGGCUUAACCGGGGAACUGCGUCUGAUACUGGAUGGCUGGAGUUUGGGAGAGGGAUGCGGAAUUCCCGGUGUAGUGGUGAAAUGCGUAGAGAUCGGGAGGAACACCUGUGGCGAAGGCGGCCGACUGGGCCGACCCUGACGCUGAGGCGCGAAAGCGUGGGGAGCAAACAGG